ACAAUUGAUGAAUCUGUCCAUGCAUAGAU
rnacentral:sRNA from 1 species